rnacentral:rRNA from 1 species
UACGUAGGGAGCAAGCGUUGUCCGGAUUUAUUGGGCGUAAAGAGCUCGUAGGCGGUUCCGUAAGUCAGGUGUGAAAAAUCUGGGCUCAACCCAGUGGAGCACCUGAUACUGCGGUGACUCGAGUCCGGUAGGGGAGUGUGGAAUUCCUGGUGGAGCGGUGAAAUGCGUAGAGAUCAGGAGGAACACCGAAGGCGAAAGCACUCUGCUGGGCCGACACUGACACUGAGAAGACGAAAGCGAGGGGAGCAAAUGGG